AUGGCUGAAGGAGUUGUAAGGAGGAAUUACACCACAUGGGAUGAUGAGAUGGAUGGUGCAUUGUUUGAGGUGCUUGUUGAUCAUCACAACAAUGGCGACCAUUCACAAAAUGGAUGGAAACCACACGUGUAUUGUGCAGCCAUAAGGAAUGUGAAGGAGAAGUGCAACAAGGAUAUCACAAAGGACAACAUUUUGGGAAGGCUUAGGACUUUCGACAGGUACUAUGAAGUAAUUACCAAGAUACUUUCCCAAAGUAGUUUUCGGUGGGAUUGGGUGAAUCAUAAGCUAUCAAUGGAUAGUGAUGAUGUCUGGAUCAAAUAUGUGGAGCAUUGGGAGUCCAUAUCUAUCAUAUACUCAAAAGAUCAUGCCAAUGGUGAAGGUGCGAUGACUGGUGCUGAGACUGCUGCAGAUCCAGAAGUAAAACCAAUAGAAAUCUCUUCAGAAGUGGCACCAAAGAGGCAACGAAUAGGCGAGUCCAUUAUGUGCAUGAUUGGAGAAAUGAGGGCUACUUUCAAGGAUGCUUUGGAGACAACUGAUCCACUUCCAUUGCCAAAAGCUACCACUCCUGCUGCAAUUCUUGCUGCACUUUAGUUGAUACCAGACUUGGCAGAGCCAGACAUGUUGCGAUCAUAUGGGAUGCUGAUUCUUAAUGAGCGUUUCUUUGAAGCUCUAAUGGAGUUGCCCAUGGAAAUGAGGAAGGCCUGGCUGUUAGUGUUGCCUUAA
rnacentral:rRNA from 1 species